rnacentral:lncRNA from 1 species
GGGUAGCCACCGAACAUGAUGCUCGGGCAGUGGGUGCCACCUGGACUCCACUCUCCCCUCUCUCUGGGAUCAUAGAGUCCAAGGUGUUCUGUGGCCUCUCGGCCAAUCCCAGCAGCUCAGCGUGCAGAAGACCGAGGAGCCAUUGGAAAAGAAAAAGAGAACAUAUAUCCCCCUACCUUUUGAUUUCCAACAGUCUACUGAGAGGCCAAGAUUAUUUGCAGGGAAAGAAAAGGGGAAUGCCAUCCCCACCCUCUCGCAGCUACGUGCCAGUUCCAGAGCACCUGUUCCCCUCUACUUUGAAAAGGUCAAAAUGUUUUGCCAGUAACUCCCAAAUCAUCUACAGCCAAGGAGAAAAGUGUUUCAAGACAGAGGUGCUCAAUGGUAUCAAAUACUGCCAACAGACCAAGUAAUACAUGCAUUGAAGUGUCUACUGGAUCUAGCUAUAUCACCAGAACAAGGUUAUGGUGGAAAACGCUAGAAAUGAAGAUUUUGUCCCCAGGGAUGGGGGAUACAAGUUACCAAAGUAGUGGCGAGAAAAGGAAUUUUUAAUUUAGGACACUUAGGCCAUACUGAAGCAAGGUGACAAAAUGAAUAGCUACAAUGUCUCGUGAAUCUUGGGUUUCCAUUCACCCUGGUAUUCAAGAGAAAUUCUUGCAUCAUGGAAGUUGCAGUUGGAUAGGACUUUCUCAGCUGAACACUGUCAUCUGCCAGAGCUUCAGGCAAGAACCCAGAACAGAUGAAACCCCAGACAUGACAAAAUAAGCCAAAGAAUACCAGGCCAAGGUGUGAAAGGCCAGAUGAGAACAAGCAGCGUACACGAUUCUGUUGCCAACAGAUCUCCCCUAACAGUGUCGUGCACCAAAUUUCCACAGUGAAUGUCAGGAAAAAAUGGCAAUUGAGGUGGGUGGUCAAAAGAGAAGCACAGUCUAUGAUGAAGUCACCCCAGAGAAGUCCUUUUUCCGUUUUCUCCUGAGAAAUUACCAGAAGAAAUUAAAAUCCUUUUGAGUAUUGCA